CCUACGGGUGGCAGCAGUGAGGAAUAUUGGUCAAUGGGCGCGAGCCUGAACCAGCCAAGUAGCGUGAAGGAUGACGGCCCUACGGGUGGUAAACUUCUUUUAUAAAGGAAUAAAGUGCGGCACGUAUGCCUUUUUGCAUGUACCUUAUGAAUAAGGAUCGGCUAACUCCGUGCCAGCAGCCGCGGUAAUACGGAGGAUCCGAGCGUUAUCCGGAUUUAUUGGGUUUAAAGGGAGCGUAGAUGGGUUGGUAAGUCAGUUGUGAAAGUUUGCGGCUCAACCGUAAAAUUGCAAUUGAUACUGGCAGUCUUGAGUACAGUAGAGGUAGGCGGAAUUCGUGGUGUAGCGGUGAAAUGCUUAGAUAUCACGAAGAACUCCGAUUGCGAAGGCAGCUUACUAGACUGCCACUGACAUUGAUGCUCGAAAGUGUGGGUAUCAAACAGGAUUAGAUACCCCAGUAGUC
rnacentral:rRNA from 1 species